AGAGCAGGAAGGACCUGUGAUGGAGGCCCUGAGGCCACACCCACACUUCCUGUCAGUCCCUGUGAUUGGCAGCUGCCUCCAUCAGUAUCAUACAUAUCCAUAUAAUCACCCUGAGGUCACUGAUGUUGGUGCUGUAUGAACCACAUUAAAUGUUUUUACCAAGAUGCCUCCGUGUCUCUCUGUCACAUACACAUUUAAUCAUUAAUCACAUAUAUAUUUAAUAAUU